AAGCGUUAUCCGGAUUUAUUGGGCGUAAAGAGCGUGUAGGCGGCUUGGUAGGUCCGCUGUGAAAACUCGAGGCUCAACCUCGAGAUGUCGGCGGAAACCACUUGGCUAGAGUCCGGAAGAGGAGAGUGGAAUUCCCGGUGUAGCGGUGAAAUGCGCAGAUAUCGGGAAGAACACCUAUGGCGAAGGCAGCUCUCUGGGCCGGUACUGACGCUGAGACGCGAAAGCGUGGGGAGCGAACAGG
rnacentral:rRNA from 1 species